rnacentral:misc_RNA from 1 species
AACGCACAUUGCGCCCGCCAGUACUCUGGCGGGCAUGCCUGUCUGAGCGUCAUUUCAACCCUCGCCCCCGGCUUCUGUCGGGGACGGUGUUGGGGAUCGGCCUCCCGUCUUCCGGGUGGCCGGCCCCUAAAUCGAGUGGCGACCACGUCGUAACCUCCUCUGCGUAGUAGUUAAACACUCGCGGGCGGAGAGCGAUGCGGCCUGCCGUAAAACCCCCAACUCUUCUAAGGUUGACCUCAGAUCAGGUAGGAAUACCCGCUGAACUUAA